rnacentral:rRNA from 1 species
GUAUUAUGGAGAGUUUGAUCCUGGCUCAGGACGAACGCUGGCGGCGUGCCUAACACAUGCAAGUCGAACGGGGAUUUUGUUUCGGCAGAAUCCUAGUGGCGAACGGGUGAGUAACGCGUAGGCAACC